CCUACGGGGGACAGCAGUGAGGAAUAUUGGUCAAUGGGCGUAAGCCUGAACCAGUCAAGUCGCGUGAGGGAUGAAGGUUCUAUGGAUCGUAAACCUCUUUUAUAAGGGAAUAAAGUGUGGGACGUGUCCUGUUUUGUAUGUACCUUAUGAAUAAGGAUCGGCUAACUCCGUGCCAGCAGCCGCGGUAAUACGGAGGAUCCGAGCGUUAUCCGGAUUUAUUGGGUUUAAAGGGUGCGUAGGCGGCCUUUUAAGUCAGCGGUGAAAGUCUGUGGCUCAACCAUAGAAUUGCCGUUGAAACUGGGAGGCUUGAGUAUGUUUGAGGCAGGCGGAAUGCGUGGUGUAGCGGUGAAAUGCUUAGAUAUCACGCAGAACCCCGAUUGCGAAGGCAGCCUGCCAAGCCAUGACUGACGCUGAUGCACGAAAGCGUGGGGAUCAAACAGGAUUAGAUACCCCAGUAGUC
rnacentral:rRNA from 1 species